rnacentral:lncRNA from 1 species
CCUUUGUGAAUUUAUUCAUGAGUCAAGUAAGGCUAGGUAACAAACUGAAGUACUGAGCUUAUUCAAAAAAAAAAUUACUGGAUGGGCAGCAGAAUACAAACCAGAUUUGUUGAGGAAGAACAAAUAAAAGAACUAAUUGGAGGGAUGCUUAAACACUACUUAAGAAAAACAUCUCCAAAGUUUAAUGAACUUCAGCUAAAUCAGGCCAAACGAGAGUCCAAACAUCAUUCAAAAGAAAAACCACAUAUUCAGGCCUUGUAACGAAAUACCAGACUAACACAUGAACGAAAUAUAUAGAGUAAAUAUAAAAAUAAGGGAAAAAUACAACACAUCUGAACAAUUACUCGACAGUAGAAAGCUAGCUUUUGCCAUUUCACUUCAAUUGGGUCACAUGGCUCACAUUUGCACUUCAUAUGUUAAUCGAGAGUCGAUACAUACCUGGGAAUAAAGAGAAACAACAGAAGAGAAGAAAUCAGUAGCCAGCAACAGCAGAGAAGAAAUGGAACAGUGAUAGAGUCAGCCAAUUAAACCCAGGGAAUUCAAGAUGAAACCCAAACUAUACAGUACUCCACACGACCAAACUCAAACCCAGCUUUCAAACCCAAAAUGAGGUGCAAAAGUCCCAAAAACCAAUUUCAGUCAAACAAAAACCCAGCAGAAAUCAAACCCAAACUUUAAGACUCGAACUCAAUCCAUUUCAACCCCAAAUAAAGCAACAUUGCCUCAGGAAUUAAAAACCUCAAAGCAGGAAGUUCAACAGAACAGUGUGUUUUUCAAAAAAAAAUUACUGUUUGUGAUUUUUCUCAGCUUUUCUUCUUUUAAGUUCUUGGGUUUGCCUUGAAAGGCAAGAAAUGAUGCCUUUAUAGGCAAGAAAACAGGGCAGCCUUAAGAGUUCAGUUUUUUAUUUUAGUUCUUUUCAAAUUUUCCUUUUAGCUUAGGAGCCCUUAUCCAAUUUUCCUUUUUGUUUAACUACCCCUGGUUCGAAUUUCAAUUGGUUAGGCAGUCCCCCUCCCCAGUUUCCUAGAAGCUUCCCAAUUCUGUUACUCAUAGAUUCCCUUCCCCAAUUUCCCAAACUACACCUCGAGCCAUGGUUAUUUACUCUAGGAAACCAACCUAGUAGAACCCCUGUUGAUACUUAGACAGACUGAAUGGGCCACGGGUCAAGUUGGCCCAACUGUUCAGCCCCAAAUGAAUCAAAAUAGACCCAAAAACCCAACCCUCAAUAUCAAAGAUCUACUCGGCCCAACUAGCAAUUAUCUGACUACCAAAUAACACAGAACAAUUAUACUUUAGCCUAAAUGGUUUACUAACUAAACUUAACCAAACUAACAAUUUGACAACUAACCUAACAAGACUCCGACUACCCAUGCAUGAAUGAAUAGAUUCCGGAACAAAUGAAGAAUGAUUCGAGAAAAGGAGAAGAAACAGAAAAUUUGAAAACAAAUGAGGGACAGAUUAAACCAAAAGAAAGAAAGAAGAAAGAAUACCUGAGAAAAGUUCGAAAAAUAAAAGGGAAGCCUGGGUCUUCAUAUCCUCGGAUUUUUUGGCCAAAUCUGAGGUUAAUCGUUUGCUCUUACGAAGAACACAUGAAUAAACUCAUAUUCGGCACGAAAUUUUGCCAAAACUUGACUUGGGAUUUCUGGGGUUCGUUUCUGAUCUAAGAUUCGAGGAGCUGGGGCAACAUUCGAGGGAAACGGAGUGGGGAUUCGGAACGAGGGGGUCAGGGUGGUUUGGUGGUGUGAUUUUGGUGGCGUUUGGAGGUGGCGCCGCCACCGGAGGCUGGGGAUUUGGGGGCGACUCAGCUAGGGUUUCGGGGUGUUUAUGGUGGGGGUGUUGAGCAGAAUGGGUUC